UAACUUGUUUCUCUUCAGAUCAAAGAAAUCUUUUGCUUUUUACUAAGGAUUUCUAUGAAGAGCAAUAUUUAUGAGUUUUAUGUAUGUUGCAGCAGCAGUUUUAAUGGGAGGGUUGU